GGCCUUAGUACGGCGAGUGAGCGGCAAAGCUCAAAUUUGAAAUCUGGUACCUUUGGUGCCCGAGUUGUAAUUUGGAGAGUACCACUUUGGGACUGUACUUUGCCUAUGUUCCUUGGAACAGGACGUCAUGGAGGGUGAGAAUCCCGUGUGGCGAGGGUGUCAGUUCUUUGUAAAGGGUGCUCGAAGAGUCGAGUUGUUUGGGAAUGCAGCUCUAAGUGGGUGGUAAAUUCCAUCUAAAGCUAAAUACAGGCGAGAGACCGAUAGCGAACAAGUACAGUGAUGGAAAGAUGAAAAGAACUUUGAAAAGAGAGUGAAAAAGUACGUGAAAUUGUUGAAAGGGAAGGGCAUUUGAUCAGACAUGGUGUUUUGCGCCCCUUGCCUCUCGUGGGCUUGGGACUCUCGCAGCUCACUGGGCCAGCAUCGGUUUUGGCGGCCGGAAAAAACCUAGGGAAUGUGGCUCUGCGC
rnacentral:rRNA from 1 species